rnacentral:snRNA from 1 species
GUAAGAGGCCCAUGAAGAGGCUGCAUCUAGGUACAAGGACCUUGUACCAAAGCGGCAGGAUUACGAAUCGAGAUGUCCCUUUCUUCCCUCACCACUUCAUGUGUGUGGCCUCCCAGAUCUAUGUCCUUGGUCAAAGAGGUCGUCUUUACCCACUAGUAGAGGACCAGUAUUCAGUCAAGGGUAUAUGAGAAGCUGUGCUCCUCUGCUAGAACUCCCAACAGGAAAGUUAAGUUCCCAGCAUGAAUAAAAAAGAAUGAUGCUUACUUUGGAGUCUUAAUU